CUGACCCUGCAAAGGAACUGAUAUCUGACAAGCUCACUUCCCACAUUAGUGAGACUGCUAAGACUCUAUGACGUACAUGGUGCGCUUAUAAGAAAGAACAUUCUAAAAAUAGUAUUCUUGUUCAACUCACUAAAUAACUGAUAGAAAAGACAGCAGGUUGCACGCAUCGGUUUUCUCUAACAGCUCACUAAAUGUCAGGAGAAACGGAAAUAUUCCAAAGAAAGAUAGCACUUUCAUUUUUACGAGAUCUGGAGUUUGUCAUUGAAGGCUUUAUUCUGCCUGGGUUCCUUCCUGUGCUGCCUACUCUCCGUUUCCUGGUGCCAUGCUGCGCAGCCACAUACUCCGCCACGAUGAUGGAUUGAACCCUUCGAGUUCAUAAACAAAAUAAACCUUCCUUUCUUGGAUUCCGUCUCAAGCGCUUUGAUGAGAGCCGCACAAAGUUGAGGGAUGUGAUCCAUAACAGUGAAAAUGCCAAUAAUCCACGCAUCCAUCACCGAGAAAAGAAAUAUGUUUGGCAUCUCAGGGUAAUGGCAUUCUGGAAAGAAAAACAAAGACAGGCCUCUAAAACAUCGCAGAGCGAAGUAAGCCGCAUACAAACAAGCAAUUGACAUGAUUCUUCUGGGAGACUGGGCCCGCAUUGCAGUGUAUCUGCUAAGCAGGCCCAGGCAAGCAUUGAAGCAGCUGGUCACAUCUGGAUCCACAGUCAUCAAACAGGAAGUAACAAGUGCUAAUCCUCAUCUCCCUUUCUCCUCUGUAUUAAGUCCAGGGCAUCAGGCUAAGAAAUGGUACCCCCCCCUACAAAGGUGCAUCUCCCUAGACUGAACCUAAUCUGGAUAAUCUCUCAGGUACACCCAUAGGAUUGUUUCCUCAGUAAGUCUCCAUUUCUGUCAAUUUAACAAUGGACAAUUGAAACUACCACAAUUUCCAAUAUACUCAAAACACCCCUUUCUUGCCACAUACUAGCCCUAGGUGUAAUGCCAGAUCACAUAGAAGGAACCCAAGACUAUUGAUUAACUGAAAGAAUGAAUUGAUAGUAUGUCUUUGUCAUACUAGCAUACAGUCUUACUUGACAAUUGCUAAGUCAUGGAAGCUCAAAUUUGAGAACAGCAUUCUUUUCCUUUCUAUAAUCGUUUUAUUUCUAAAAUCAGAAAUAGCAACUCCAGCGUAUGAAUAGAUCCGUUCUGUGGGUGACAGAGACAAAGAAGACUUGGCCAAGAAGACAGCUAAUGAAUAUGACAUGAUUUUCACCACUAGCAUACAAAAUGCCCAGAUCUGGAGUUUGUCAUUGAAGGCUUUAUUCUGCCUGGGUUCCUUCCUGUGCUGCCUACUCUCCGUUUCCUGGUGCCAUGCUGCGCAGCCACAUACUCCGCCACGAUGAUGGAUUGAACCCUUCGAGUUCAUAAACAAAAUAAACCUUCCUUUCUUGGAUUCCGUCUCAAGCGCUUUGAUGAGAGCCGCACAAAGUUGAGGGAUGUGAUCCAUAACAGUGAAAAUGCCAAUAAUCCACGCAUCCAUCACCGAGAAAAGAAAUAUGUUUGGCAUCUCAGGGUAAUGGCAUUCUGGAAAGAAAAACAAAGACAGGCCUCUAAAACAUCGCAGAGCGAAGUAAGCCGCAUACAAACAAGCAAUUGACAUGAUUCUUCUGGGAGACUGGGCCCGCAUUGCAGUGUAUCUGCUAAGCAGGCCCAGGCAAGCAUUGAAGCAGCUGGUCACAUCUGGAUCCACAGUCAUCAAACAGGAAGUAACAAGUGCUAAUCCUCAUCUCCCUUUCUCCUCUGUAUUAAGUCCAGGGCAUCAGGCUAAGAAAUGGUACCCCCCCCUACAAAGGUGCAUCUCCCUAGACUGAACCUAAUCUGGAUAAUCUCUCAGGUACACCCAUAGGAUUGUUUCCUCAGUAAGUCUCCAUUUCUGUCAAUUUAACAAUGGACAAUUGAAACUACCACAAUUUCCAAUAUACUCAAAACACCCCUUUCUUGCCACAUACUAGCCCUAGGUGUAAUGCCAGAUCACAUAGAAGGAACCCAAGACUAUUGAUUAACUGAAAGAAUGAAUUGAUAGUAUGUCUUUGUCAUACUAGCAUACAGUCUUACUUGACAAUUGCUAAGUCAUGGAAGCUCAAAUUUGAGAACAGCAUUCUUUUCCUUUCUAUAAUCGUUUUAUUUCUAAAAUCAGAAAUAGCAACUCCAGCGUAUGAAUAGAUCCGUUCUGUGGGUGACAGAGACAAAGAAGACUUGGCCAAGAAGACAGCUAAUGAAUAUGACAUGAUUUUCACCACUAGCAUACAAAAUGCCCAGGUGAGCCCGGCUAGAUCAAUCCAAUGCCCACCUGUCAUCAUCUGAGCAAGGGUUCUCCAGACCUGACGUGAGAAUGACGUUGGUGAUGACGUGAUUAUAAUCACCAUUUCUAUAAAAUCCAUCCAGUAAUUUCCCAUCUGCUUUAUCUCUUGUUGUAAAUGAGACUACAGGGCAGUCUGUCUUGCACUGGUUAGAACCGAGCACACAAAUGGCUUACUAAUGAGAAGAGGGAAAGGGGGGACAGAUGAAAUAAAUAUUGCUUUGACUCGCUCCCCUUGGGGAUGUCUGCUAUUACCCCCUCUCAGAAUUGACAUUGAAAUGAUCAUUAAAAAUUUAAAAAGCACAGAAAAGAAGGCCUAGACAAGUGAAAUGCUGUCCUGUCCAAUGUCACAUAACACAUUUAUGGAAGAGCUGGGGUUAGAAUCCCUCUUGCCUAACUCCCUGCUCAGGGAUACACAGAAAACUUAGGGGAGAAAAUCCCAAAGUAAUAAAUGCUGAACCACAAUUCAGGGUGCCCCUCCACAGCAGAUUAGAAGAAUCCCCAGUCCCAGAGUGACUGGAGCCCUCUCCUCAGACACUGAUUUUUCCAAGAAGCCCUCACAGUAGAGCAGCGGGAAGGAAUGGAUGUGACAGAAAGAGAAGAUUAAUCUAGGAGGCAGUGUGGGUGCUGAAGAUCACUAACUCCGAAGACAUGUUAUGUCCAGCUCUGUUUACCAUCUUCUGCCCUUGGCCAAGUGCACCUGUGUUACCAUUUCGGUAAAGCAAAGGUGUUCUCCGAAGGCAAGGGCAAAGAAUCACAGUUCAAGGUCACGAAAAGAGCUCGCCCUCCAAAAUGGUUGUAGUGAUACGAUCUAUGCUAAGCACUUACAAAAUAAAGGUGUUGUAAGGGUUAAAUGAACAGAUAUUGACAAAGAGAGCAUUUAGAAUAAUAC